GUGAGGAAUUUUCCGCAAUGGGCGAAAGCCUGACGGAGCAAUGCCGCGUGAAGGAUGAAGGCCUAUGGGUUGUAAACUUCUUUUCUCAGAAAAGAAUUAUGACGGUAUCUGAGGAAUAAGCAUCGGCUAACUCUGUGCCAGCAGCCGCGGUAAGACAGAGGAUGCAAGCGUUAUCCGGAAUGAUUGGGCGUAAAGCGUCUGUAGGUUGUUUAAAAAGUAUUCUGUCAAAGAUUAGGGCUUAACCCUAGAUAGGCAGAAUAAACUUUUAAGAUAGAGUUUGGUAGAGGCAGAGGGAAUUCCCGGUGGAGCGGUGAAAUGCGUAGAUAUCGGGAGGAACACCAAAGGCGAAGGCACUCUGCUGGGCCAAUACUAACACUGAGAGACGAAAGCGAGGGGAGCAAAUGGGAUUAGAAACCCUAGUAGUCC
rnacentral:rRNA from 1 species